AGAAAAAAUGUCGAAGGCAUCGAAGAUUUGAGUGCGUCUAUCCCCCUCCCUCCUACUUAUAAUAAAGUCGGAAUCCUCGUUAACAGGUUUCUUGUCUUGUGUCUUCUCCGCGCCAGCUGGAGCGCUCACCGGUUAUUUUGUGCUCAACGCCCGAACGGUUUAGACCGCCGCGAUAACCGACUUAGAUAUAUUUUUUAGUGUUAGUUAGUUUAAUUCACAUUACCUUUGUGACACGUAAGUUUACCGAUACGGCUCAAACGACUAUAGAAUAAAAAGCAUGGCUUUUUCCAUGAAUAUUCCAUCGGACGAGAAGGUUGAGAAAAAGAAAUUCCCUCCAUCCGCCCCCAUUCACGCUCCUCCACCGGAACCGGAAAUUGACUCAAAAUACACCAAUGGUUGUGCCAUGAAAAUGACAAGAUGGUUACUGUUAAUAUGCGCCUCUUGCCUGGUGCUCUCUGCGCUGGCGUCGCCGGUCCUCCAGGGCGGCGGAGACGUGGAUGUGGCGAAGGGACGGCAAGCGGACGCGGCGGCCGCCGUCGUGGAUAACAGCGUCGCGGCGGCGGCGUCGCCAGCGGCAGCGGCCCCCGUCGCGGCGGCGCCGGCCCCCGCGGUCACCCCCGAGCCCGAGGACGACGAGGACGAUGAGGAUGACGACGACGAUGACGUCGACCUAGACAUCACCGACGACGACGAUGAUGACGACGAUGAGGAGGAGAACGAGACUGCUGCCGAUGAUGACGACGAAGACGAUGAUGAUGACUACGACUUCGAGAGGUUCUUCGAUGAUCUCCUGGGAGCUUGAAGGGGACAAAAUCUCACCGGCACAGUCCACCCUCAACUGACACAAAUCGGAGACGAAGACAUAAAACUGACCUACCCAACGACCAACUCUUUACAAAACCUACGAGCCGUCUCCGCUCCAAAAUCACAAAGAAUACCAAAGAAAACUCCAUGAUUUCAUUCCUCACUCUCUUCUCUCUCUCUUUCUAUUCCUCUCUUAAUUUAUUUUUAAUUUAUUUGCGCAUCUCUUCCUCUUUUGUAAUUUAUUUUUCUCAAUAAAUUAUUUAUUUAACUUAUUUGUAAAAAGGAACCACCGUCUUGUUCUUUCCGUUUUGCAACAACAUUUUUAGAAAUCAAAUGUGGGUGACAGCUCACUGGAAACAAUUGGUAUGAAUGGAAAAACACAAUAAAAGAAGAAAAUGAAAAUGAACUUGAUAGAAUUGCUACUCAGCAACAAAUCUAUCGAUGGUGAAACAAGAAGCCCACAUAAACGCACAAAUCAGUUUCAAUGUUUUGGCUUAACCAUUUUGCACUGAAAUUCUUUAAAUUCAAACCUUACAACAGUUUUUUUUUUUCAAUAAAUUUAAAUGAUAUUUUCAAAGAAAUAGUGGAUAAUCUCGAUAUGAGAGUUACGACUAAUGCUCUCACUGUAAAAUAAGUAAAUAAUUUAUGAAGCCUUGUCUUAGUGUUUAAAACACUUCUCUUAGUUUGUCACCAUCGAUAGAAUUGUUA
rnacentral:lncRNA from 1 species